AUUGAACGCUGGCGGCAGGCUUAACACAUGCAAGUCGAACGGUAACAUGAAGAAGCUUGCUUCUUUGAUGACGAGUGGCGGACGGGUGAGUAAUGCUUGGGAAUCUAGCUUAUGGAGGGGGAUAACUACGGGAAACUGUAGCUAAUACCGCGUAGAAUCGAGAGAUGAAAGUGUGGGACCUUCGGGCCACAUGCCAUAGGAUGAGCCCAAGUGGGAUUAGGUAGUUGGUGAGGUAAAGGCUCACCAAGCCGACGAUCUCUAGCUGGUCUGAGAGGAUGACCAGCCACACUGGGACUGAGACACGGCCCAGACUCCUACGGGAGGCAGCAGUGGGGAAUAUUGCGCAAUGGGGGCAACCCUGACGCAGCCAUGCCGCGUGAAUGAAGAAGGCCUUCGGGUUGUAAAGUUCUUUCGGUAGCGAGGAAGGCAUUUAGUUUAAUAGACUAAGUGAU
rnacentral:rRNA from 1 species